GGCUCAGGAUGAACGCUAGCGGCAGGCUUAAUACAUGCAAGUCGUGGGGCAGCAUGGUGUAGCAAUACACUGAUGGCGACCGGCAAACGGGUGCGGAACACGUACAGAACCUUCCUUCAAGUGGUGAAUAGCCCAGAGAAAUUUGGAUUAAUACACCGUAACAUAUGAAAGUGGCAUCACUUUUAUAUUAUAGCUCCGGCGCUUGAAGAUGGCUGUGCGGCUGAUUAGGUAGUUGGCGGGGUAACGGCCCACCAAGCCUGCGAUCAGUAACUGGUGUGAGAGCACGACCAGUCACACGGGCACUGAGACACGGGCCCGACUCCUACGGGAGGCAGCAGUAAGGAAUAUUGGUCAAUGGACGCAAGUCUGAACCAGCCAUGCCGCGUGAAGGAUGAAGGUCCUCUGGAUUGUAAACUUCUUUUAUCUGGGACGAAAAAAGGGCUUUCUAGCUCGACUGACGGUACCAGAGGAAUAAGCACCGGCUAACUCCGUGCCAGCAGCCGCGGUAAUACGGAGGGUGCAAGCGUUAUCCGGAUUCACUGGGUUUAAAGGGAGCGUAGGCGGGCAGGUAAGUCAGUGGUGAAAUCUCCGGGCUUAACCCGGAAACUGCCAUUGAUACUAUCUGUCUUGAAUAUCCUGGAGGUAAGCGGAAUAUGUCAUGUAGCGGUGAAAUGCUUAGAUAUGACAUAGAACACCCAUUGCGAAGGCAGCUUACUACGGGAUGAUUGACGCUGAGGCUCGAAAGCGUGGGGAUCAAACAGGAUUAGAUACCCUGGUAGUCCACGCCCUAAACGAUGGAUACUCGACAUCAGCGAUACACUGUUGGUGUCUGAGCGAAAGCAUUAAGUAUCCCACCUGGGAAG
rnacentral:rRNA from 1 species